rnacentral:rRNA from 1 species
UACGUAGGGUGCGAGCGUUAAUCGGAAUUACUGGGCGUAAAACGUGCGCAGGCGGUUUUGUAAGCCAGAUGUGAAAGCCCCGGGCUUAACCUGGGAAUGGCAUUUGGGACUGCAAGGCUUGAGUGCGGCAGAGGAGACUGGAAUUCCUGGUGUAGCAGUGAAAUGCGUAGAUAUCAGGAGGAAUACCGAUGGCGAAGGCAGGUCUCUGGGCUGACACUGACGCUCAUGCACGAAAGCGUGGGGAGCAAACAGG